UACGUAGGGUGCAAGCGUUGUCCGGAAUUAUUGGGCGUAAAGAGCUCGUAGGCGGUCUGUCGCGUCUGCUGUGAAAACUCGGGGCUUAACUCCGGGCCUGCAGUGGGUACGGGCAGACUAGAGUGCGGUAGGGGAGACUGGAAUUCCUGGUGUAGCGGUGAAAUGCGCAGAUAUCAGGAGGAACACCGGUGGCGAAGGCGGGUCUCUGGGCCGUAACUGACGCUGAGGAGCGAAAGUGUGGGGAGCGAACAGG
rnacentral:rRNA from 1 species